rnacentral:rRNA from 1 species
GACGAACGCUGGCGGCGUGCUUAACACAUGCAAGUCGAACGGUGAAGCGCCUUCCUUUUUGGUGGGUGUGGAUGAGUGGCGAACGGGUGAGUAACACGUGAGUAACCUGCCCCCUUCUUCUGGAUAACCGCAUGAAAGUGUGGCUAAUACGGGAUAUUCUGGGUCUGUCGCAUGAUGGGUCUGGGCAAGAUAUUGUUUCGGUGGGGGAUGGGCUCGCGGCCUAUCAGCUUGUUGGUGGGGUGAUGGCCUACCAAGGCGGUGACGGGUAGCCGGCCUGAGAGGGUGGACGGUCACACGGGGACUGAGACGCGGACCAGACUCCGACGGGAGGCAGCAGGGGGGAAUAUUGCACAAUGGGCGCAAGGCUGAUGCAGCGACGCCGCGUGAGGGAUGGAGGCCUUCGGGUUGUGAACCUCUUUCGCCAGUGAAGCAGGCCUGCCUCGUUUGUGGGUGGGUUGACGGUAGCUGGAUAAGAAGCGCCGGCUAACUACGUG